UACGUAUGUCGCAAGCGUUAUCCGGAUUUAUUGGGCGUAAAGCGCGUCUAGGCGGUUUGGUAAGUCUGAUGUGAAAAUGCGGGGCUCAACUCCGUAUUGCGUUGGAAACUGCCAAACUAGAGUACUGGAGAGGUGGGCGGAACUACAAGUGUAGAGGUGAAAUUCGUAGAUAUUUGUAGGAAUGCCGAUGGGGAAGCCAGCCCACUGGACAGAUACUGACGCUAAAGCGCGAAAGCGUGGGUAGCAAACAGGAUUAGAUACCCCGGAUCCGGCUAUGACU
rnacentral:rRNA from 1 species